rnacentral:lncRNA from 1 species
CACACCAUAGAUACGAUACGAAUAACGUUGCAUUAAAUGAAAACCAGUGCCAUGAUAGGAUUACGUCACUGAGAACUAACAAUUAACCACUACAUGGAAACUCAUAGUUCAACAGUGCAGUAGACAAGCUGAAGCUCAACAGGCUGAGAGCUCAUAUGUAGCAAAGACCUGGAGGAAUUAUGGCCCGACACAUCUAAGGACAUGUAACAAAAAUAGAAGAGCUCAACUUGCACUCAUAGCAACAACUUUUUGCACUUAUCAGUCAAACGAGUCAGUAAUUAGUCCCUUGGAAGAUUAAUGAAUUGUUCUCUAAUUAUCAAUGUGAGAAGGCACGGGAGAAAAUAUGAUAUAUAUUGAUAUUGUGUGUAAUGCAAUACAAGAGGUGCUAUUUAUAGAUACUCUAUACAAAGGGGAUACUACUCCUAUUCCAAUGUGGGACAAUUACAUAGCUAUCUCUAACACUCCCUCUCAAGCAGGAGCAUAUAAAUCAUAUGUACCGAGCUUGUUACAUAUAUAAUCAAUGCGAGGACCAGCGAGGGACUUGGUGAAAAUAUCUGCAAGUUGAUCAUUCGAUCUCACAAACUUCGUAGUAAUAUCUCCUGAAAGUAUUUUUUCUCUGACGAAGUGACAAUCAAUCUCAAUGUGUUUAGUUCUCUCAUGAAACACCGGAUUUGAUGCAAUAUGAAGUGCAGCUUGAUUAUCGCACACAAGUUCCAUCCGACUGAUUUCACCAAAUUUCAACUCCUUGAGCAAUUGUUUGAUCCAGACUAGUUCACAUGUUGCCAUAGCCAUUGCUCGAUAUUAUGCUUCUGCACUAGACCGAGCAACUACAUUCUGUUUCUUACUUUUCCAGGACACCAAAUUUCCUCCUACUAAAACACAAUAUCCAGACGUAGAACGUCUAUCAGAAGGUGAUCCUGCCCAAUCAGCAUCUGAGUACUCAAAGAUCUGCUCAUGACCUCGAUUCUCAAACAGUAAUCCUUUGCCUGGAGCCGAUUUUAUAUACCGGAUAAUGCGGACAACUGCAUCCCAAUGACUAUCACAGGGAGAAUUCAUAAACUGACUUACAACACUCACAUGAUAAGAAAUGUCAGGUCUAGUCACUGUGAGAUAAUUUAAUUUACCAACCAGCCGCCUAUAGCUUGCAGGGUCACUAAGCGGCUCCCCCUGUCCAGGCAGAAGUUUAGAAUUUGGAUCCAUCGGCGUGUCAACAGGUCUGCAACCUGUCAUCCCUGUUUCCUCAAGAAUGUCUAAAACAUAUUUCCUUUGAGAAAUAACAAUCCCUGAGCUAGAUUGAGCAACCUCAAUACCUAAAAAGUACUUCAAUUUGCCUAGAUCCUUAGUUUGAAAGUGCUGGAAGAGAUGCUGCUUCAGAUUAGUAAUACCAUCCUCCGAUCUCUUCGCAAUUCGGAUCCAUCGGCGUGUCAACAGGUCUGCAACCUAUCAUCCCUGUUUCCUCAAGAAUGUCUAACACAUAUUUCCUUUGAGAAAUAACAAUACCUGAGCUAGA